rnacentral:lncRNA from 1 species
UCUUGAUGCCAAUCUUCUAGAACUAAUAUCUCUCUUUUGCACCAUUCGACUGAUUUCAAAAUUCUCAUACACAUAGAAAAACAAGUCUAAUAUUCUCUCACGUAAGUUUCACUUCAAUCCAAUCAAUAGAUUGCAAGAAAUCUCAAAAAACCCCUAUUAGACCUAAAAUUCUACUUUUUGAGACCUUGACCAACUUAAAUCUUAAUAUUCCUCAAUUCAACCGUUAGAUCAAGCUCAAACUCACGUCACAUAUUAAACACAACUAUAACCAUAAAUCCACAAAUUUGCAUCCAUAGAUCUAUUACAAAACACUUGAAAUCACCCAAAACGUAAACCCUAUUUUAUUUCAUAAAACCCAAGUCAUCUAAAACAAACCUUAACUUUGCAAAGCUCUUACAAAUUCAUAUCAACUCCAAAUCA